rnacentral:rRNA from 1 species
GACGAACGCUGGCGGCGUGCUUAACACAUGCAAGUCGAACGGUAAGGCCCUUCGGGGUACACGAGUGGCGAACGGGUGAGUAACACGUGGGUGAUCUGCCCUGCACUUCGGGAUAAGCCUGGGAAACUGGGUCUAAUACCGGAUAGGACCACUGCCUGCAUGGGUGGUGGUGGAAAGCUUUUGCGGUGUGGGAUGGGCCCGCGGCCUAUCAGCUUGUUGGUGGGGUGAUGGCCUACCGAGGCGACGACGGGUAGCCGGCCUGAGAGGGUGACCGGCCACACUGGGACUGAGAUACGGCCCAGACUCCUACGGGAGGCAGCAGUGGGGAAUAUUGCACAAUGGGCGCAAGCCUGAUGCAGCGACGCCGCGUGAGGGAUGACGGCCUUCGGGUUGUAAAGCUCUUUUACCCGGGACGAUAAUGACUGUACCGGGAGAAUAAGCCCCGGCUAACUUCGUGCCAGCAGCCGCCGCCG